rnacentral:rRNA from 1 species
UCGUACGGGAGGCAGCAGUGAGGAAUAUUGGACAAUGGGUUAGCGCCUGAUCCAGCCAUCCCGCGUGAAGGACGACGGCCCUAUGGGUUGUAAACUUCUUUUGUGCAGGGAUAAACCUAUAUACGUGUAGAUAGCUGAAG